CACGGGGGGGACGAGCGUUAUCCGUCAUAACUGGGCGUAAAGGGUUUGUAGGCUGUGUUAUAAGUUUAUUAUAAAAUUCCUAUCAUAUAAGUGAGGCUAUAUAUUAUAUACUGUAAUACUAGAGUUUAUGAGAAGGUAAUGGUACUCUUGAUGGAGGGGUGAUAUCCAGAAAUAUUGAUGGGGACUGCCAUAGGGCGAAGGCAAUUAUCUAGCAUACAACUGACGCUGAGAAACGAAAGCAUGGGUAGCAAACGGA
rnacentral:rRNA from 1 species